UACGGAGGAUGCGAGCGUUAUCCGGAUUUAUUGGGUUUAAAGGGUGCGCAGGCGGAUUUUUAAGUCAGCGGUCAAAUCGUGGGGCUCAACCCCAUCCAGCCGUUGAAACUGGGGAUCUAGAGUGUGCGAGAGGUAUGCGGAAUGCGUGGUGUAGCGGUGAAAUGCAUAGAUAUACGGAGGAACACCAGUGGCGAAGGCGGCCUGCUGGACAAUAACUGACGCUGAGGCGCGAAAGCGUGGGGAGCAAACAGG
rnacentral:rRNA from 1 species